UAAGCAAAGUAUAGUGAUAUUCAUUGUCUUAGAUUACUAGCAAUAGAAGAGAAGGAUUAAUGGCAGGAUGCUACAAAAAUGCAAAGGAUUGCGGGUUAGGAUAACCAUUAAAAGGAUAAGUUUUCAAGGACGAAGCAAGGAGCACUAUUUUUAGCUGGAUUGCUAUAAAACGAACCCGAAGGCACUGUUCAACAGUGCCUUCUUCGUCAUUG
rnacentral:other from 1 species